rnacentral:rRNA from 1 species
UACGUAGGGGGCGAGCGUUGUCCGGAUUCAUUGGGCGUAAAGAGCUCGUAGGCGGCUUGGCAAGUCGGGUGUGAAAACUCCAGGCUCAACCUGGAGAUGCCACCCGAUACUGCUAUGGCUUGAGUUCGGUAGGGGACCACGGAAUUCCUGGUGUAGCGGUGAAAUGCGCAGAUAUCAGGAAGAACACCCGUGGCGAAAGCGGCUCUCUGGGACGGUACUGACGCUGAGACGCGAAAGCGUGGGGAGCGAACAGG